rnacentral:rRNA from 1 species
NCGCGUUGAUUAAGUCCCUGCCCUUUGUACACACCGNCCGUCGCUACUACCGAUUGGAUGGUUUAGUGAGGUCCUCGGAUCGGCCCCGCCGAGGUCGCCCGCGGCCGCCGGCGGANNGCCGAGAAGACGAUCAAACUUGACUCUCUAGAGGAAGUAAAAGUCGUAACAAGGUUUCCGUAGNUGAACCUGCGGAAGGAUCAUUA